GCAGAAGUACCCAAGUGGCUAUAAGGGGCUCCCCUGCUAAGGGAGUAGUCGGGUUAAACCGAGCGAGGGUUCGAAUCCCUCCUUCUGCGCCA
rnacentral:tRNA from 5 species